rnacentral:rRNA from 1 species
GACGAACGCUGGCGGCGUGCCUAAUACAUGCAAGUAGGACGCAGUUGCGAACGGGUGAGUAACGCGUAGGUAACUGCCUAUUAGAGGGGGAUAACUAUUGGAAACGAUAGCUAAUACCGCAUACUAGUAGAUGGACCUGCGUUGUAUUAGCUAGUAGGUGGGGUAAUGGCCUACCUAGGCGAGGAUACAUGUCCGACCUGUGACGGUGAUCGGCCACACUGGGACUGGAGAACGGCCCAGACUCCUACGGGAGGCAGCAGUAGGGAAUCUUCGGCAAUGGGGGGAACCCUGACCGAGCAACGCCGCGUGAGUGAAGAAGGUUUUCGGAUCGUAAAGCUCUGUUGUUAAGGAAGCGGUACUUAACCAGAAAGGGACGGCUAACUACGUGCCAGCAGCCGCGGUAAUUU